GACGAACGCUGGCGGCGUGCUUAACGCAUGCAAGUCGAACGGAAAGGCCCUGCUUUUGUGGGGUGCUCGAGUGGCGAACGGGUGAGUAACACGUGAGUAACCUGCCCUUGACUUUGGGAUAACUUCAGGAAACUGGGGCUAAUACCGGAUAGGAGCUCCUGCUGCAUGGUGGGGGUUGGAAAGUUUCGGCGGUUGGGGAUGGACUCGCGGCUUAUCAGCUUGUUGGUGGGGUAGUGGCUUACCAAGGCUUUGACGGGUAGCCGGCCUGAGAGGGUGACCGGCCACAUUGGGACUGAGAUACGGCCCAGACUCCUACGGGAGGCAGCAGUGGGGAAUAUUGCACAAUGGGCGGAAGCCUGAUGCAGCAACGCCGCGUGCGGGAUGACGGCCUUCGGGUUGUAAACCGCUUCCGCCUGUGACGAAGCGUGAGUGACGGUAAUGGGUAAAGAAGCACCGGCUAACUACGUG
rnacentral:rRNA from 1 species